UUUUGGGUUGUCACAACUGAGGACGGGGUGCUCCUGGCAUCUAGUAUGCAGAGGCCAGGGAUGCUGCUCAACACCCUCCAGUGCACAGGGCAGCCCCACAAACACACAGCUGACCGCAAACAACUGUGCCAAGGUCAAGAAAUCCUUGCCUUAGAAGAGGCUCUGAUUAAAACCUAGAAAAAAUUCAACCUCUUCCACAGCCCAAAGACUGUCUAAUGCAGGCUCUUCUCACCCCACUGGCUCAGCCACAGGCACACUGGUCUCCUUUUUAUUUCUUGAACAUACCAGGACCCCAUCAUCCAGGCCUUGGCACAUGCUGUUCUUUACCUAUAGAGCUUUUCCCAAGACAUUCAAUUGGCAGGGGAGGUCCCUCCUCUCACAGGCCACCUCUGGACCCAUAUAAGAGAGGAUCUCACCCACUACAUAGCCACCUGAACCCGUUACCCUUCACAGACGUCACCGCUAUCGGCUGUGCUCUUAUCAAUUAAGUAUGGAUAGGUUUGAUCAUUCAGCAUCGUCUCCCUCACUAAAGUAUCAGCUCCCUCAGGGCAGAAGACAGUCUCCUUGGCCAUCUACGCAGUGCCUAGAACAGAGGCUGGCACACAGCCGGUGCUCAAGAGAGACUGGUCUGUGGAGGAAGGAUGGGAGAGACAGGGAGAAACUGAGAACAGGCUCCACAAAGUAAACUGAUACCGAGCUGAGAGAGGCCACUAGAAGAAGAACACUUUUUUAAACUCACUAUCUACAUCUUUGGGCCUUAUGUGCAGGUGCUGCUCUAGGUGUUUUAAUCCUCAAACUCCAGGAGGCAGGCAUUGUUAUCACGAUGUCCAUUCCACCGAGGAGCCUGAGGCCCAGCGCAGUAAAGACCUUAUCUAAAGCCACACAGCUGGCUAAUGUCUUCCUGAAAGCAUACAAAGAACCUACAACUGAGACCCCCUGGGAACAUACCAAGGCACCACCCACCCCGGGGCCUUUGCACUUGCUGUUCCCUUUGCCUGGAAGACUCUUUCUCCAGAUAUCUGCAGGGCCCUGACCUCAAUUCAUUCCUGUAUCAGUCUGUUCUCACGCUGCUAAUAAAGAUAUACCAGAGACUGGGUAAUUUAUAAA